AGACCUAUCAGUCAUUUUCUGAUUUUAGACCCUUAAGAUCAGCCGCAACAGACUUAGAAAACUCUAGAGAUCAGCAGCUAGAAGAGUGGAGCUAACACAAAAGAGAGCAAUGGCGGAGCUCUCUUGAAAAGGACCCCCCUAUCGACUCAUCUUCUUCUUCAGAGAAGAAGAGCCAAUUUCCAUGGCUUCUUCUUAACCAAACCAAAGACCCCUGUUCUCUUCAAACACACAAGCAGCCAUUCCCCCACGUCUUCAAAUCCCUCUCUCUAUCGUUUUUUUUGUCUCACCUCCAUCGCUGGCGAGAUUCGCCGGAAACCGGCGAAAACUAACCCCAUAACCAGUCAGUUUUCCAUUCGAUUCUCUGAGCUUUAGAACUAUUUUUUACGCAAAGCUUCAGUUUAUUCUCAUAUCGGAACUCAUGGAGACGAACUGCUCGAUUUUGUUUUGAAGUCGAGCGUUCCAGUCCAAAGUCAAAGAAUCGAGUCGAGGUGUCCGUUGUAGCCGAGUUCGAAGUACUUUGGUCGAGGUUCAUUGAGAUUCCAGCGAGGCAUUUCGUUUUUCUGUUCGAGGUUCUCAUUUGCUUGCCGAUUCGAGAAUAGUUGCAGUUGUAGAGGGUUGGCGCGCUAGUUAUCAUAAUCUUGUUGUGGAGCUGCAUUGACGACUUGAGGGGCCUGCGUUUCAUGCCCGUAGAUGCAGGUAGACAGGUUGACGGUCCACCUUCUUAGGAUCCUUGCUCAGCGAGAACUGGUGUGCUCCAUUUGAUCUAGAGCUGCUAUUGAGUUUUGGUACGAUACGUUUGUAUACAUAUGGGUAUGACAGGACCCACUCCCAUUCUUUAUACAGUGUACACUCUAUUAGAGGUCUGUAAAUAGUCAUGUGUAGUUAGAUAGUAUGUGUCCUUCUCGGC